UACGAAGGGGGCUAGCGUUGUUCGGAAUUACUGGGCGUAAAGCGCACGUAGGCGGGUCGUUAAGUCAGGGGUGAAAUCCCGGAGCUCAACUCCGGAACUGCCUUUGAUACUGCCGUUCUUGAGGGAUGCAGAGGAGAUUGGAAUUCCCGGUGUAGCGGUGAAAUGUGUAGAGAUCGGGAGGAACACCGGUGGCGAAGGCGGGUCUCUGGGCCGAUACUGACGCUGAGGAGCGAAAGCGUGGGGAGCGAACAGG
rnacentral:rRNA from 1 species